GUGCCAGCCGCCGCGGUAAUUCAUAGGGGGCAAGCGUUAUCCGGAAUAACUGGGCGUAAAGGGUGCGCAGGUGGUUUAACAAGUUAGUGGUGAAAGGCAUAGGCUCAACCAAUGUAAGCCAUUAAAACUGUUUAACUUGAGUGCAGGAGAGGAAAGUGGAAUUCCUAGUGUAGCGGUGAAAUGCGUAGAUAUUAGGAGGAAUACCAGUGGCGAAGGCGACUUUCUGGACUGCAACUGACACUGAGGCACGAAAGCGUGGGGAGCAAACAGGAUUAGAUACCCUGGUAGUCCACGCCGUAAACGAUGAGUACUAGGUGUCGGGUGAAGAACUCAGUGCCGAAGUUAACACAUUAAGUACUCCGCCUGGGGAGUACGCUCGCAAGAGUAAAACUCAAAGGAAUUGACGGGGACCCGCACAAGCAGCGGAGCAUGUGGUUUAAUUCGAAGCAACGCGAAGAACCUUACCUAAACUUGACAUACCAAUGACAGCCUUUUAAUCGAGGACUUCUACCUUCGGGUAGACAAUGGAUACAGGUGG
rnacentral:rRNA from 1 species